CACCAGUCUCCUUUUCCUGAAGGCACCAGGCCAUCACUGUCCUUCUUAGCCAUUACCUUGUCAACUUGGCCAUCUAUUAUCAACAAAAUGAUGCUGUCCUUGAGGCUGAGGUAGUAGAUUGAAUAGUUGUGGAGCCUUAUUCUCCCUCUGAGCUAACUAUACAAUCUACUGUCUUUCCUAAGGAGACAGUAAAGUCAUCUGCUGCUAUGCAACCAUCCUCGCCUGAUGCUGGUCUACUUGGAUUCAAAUCAGCUGCUGCAGACAAGAAGACUUUGACACCCAGCCCAGGAUUCUGCACAUUGAAAAUGCAGCAAGACUUGGCCCUGAAGAGUCAAGAAUGCCUCAGAGUUCUAACAGCAGUUGCAAAACAUAUGAAGCCUCUAUCCUGCUUUGUGGAGGAUAUCUUGUAUCAUUGUAGACCAUUUGGCAGCUUCCAUGACUCAAGCAGUCAGGAAAAAGAAAAUGGCAGCCAUCAAAUCAGCAUCACUGUGCUGGAGAAAAGUACCAUAUGCACACUUGCCCUGCCUUGCCUUAGUGAUGAACGAUCAUAUUUGGAGAGACAGAUGAGAUAAGAUGAACAUGUUCAUGUGUGUUUCUCAUUGAUGGCAUUAAUUCAAUAAGUAAUUCAAGCUGAACUUGAUGAGACAAAAUAAAUGCCUCCAAAUGGUGUACCAUUUAGCUGUCUUACUGUGCUUCUAGAUAACACUUUUCUUGUGGAAGCAUCUUGUGUUAUUCAGAUAAUAAACUGGUUUUUUCUUUGUUCUUCAUA